rnacentral:rRNA from 1 species
CCUACGGGUGGCUGCAGUGGGGAAUAUUGCGCAAUGGGCGAAAGCCUGACGCAGCGACGCCGCGUGAGGGAUGAAGGUCUUCGGAUCGUAAACCUCUGUCAGCAGGGAAGAACGAUCACUGUGCUAAUCCUCAGUGAAUUGACGGUACCUGCAAAGGAAGCACCGGCUAACUCCGUGCCAGCAGCCGCGGUAAUACGGAGGGUGCGAGCGUUAAUCGGAAUUACUGGGCGUAAAGCGCUCGUAGGCGGUAUGUUAAGUCCAGAGUGAAAUCCCCGCGCUCAACGGGGGAAUGGCAUUGGAAAAUGGGAGACUUGAGUGCAGAAGAGGAGAGUGGAAGUCGAGGGG